GGGAAUGUGGCUUAGUGGUAGAGCGCUUGCCUAGCAUGCAUGAAACCCUGGGUUCGAUUCAUCAAUACCA
rnacentral:tRNA from 1 species